UCUGGUGAAACGGGGAAAGAGAAAACUAGGCAAAAGGGCUUGGUUCAGAGUCCAAGCUUGGGUUCUGUGUUGUGGUUUAGUGAUUUGGAGCAUCCCCACGCAGAACCGCCCGACAGACUGGUUCGAGCCGCGGAGACCCACGGUCUUAGGGCGGCUAGCGCGCUGGGCAAGCCCAGACGACCUGCGGCGGCGGGCACUGCAAAUUAGAAGCCUGAUGAGAGCACAACUGAUAUUUUAUUUUUCUUAGCAAAACUGUAAUUGUAGCAGAAAAAUGAAUACCAAGCGAAAUUGGAGUCCUUCUAUCAACAUUGGGAAUCAGGACCCCACCCUCCCCACCCCCUACUCUGCACAAUGGCUUCGCCACUUUGCACCUAAUAUUUACAAUUGAGCCAAAUCUGUGCCUUUUUCAGACCCGCUGCACAUUCCAACGCAGUCUCCCAGGAGGAUGGUGUUAAAUAAAAAGCUUUUAUGUAGUU